CCCAUGGAUCAUGAGGAUCUCAUUGAGAAAAUUCUAGAUGGUCUUGACGAUGAUUAUAAGCCUAUUAUUGAUAUUAUCAAUGGACGUGACACACCGAUUUCAUUUGAUGAAUUGCAUGAGAAGUUGAUUAAUA
rnacentral:snoRNA from 1 species